rnacentral:pre_miRNA from 1 species
AAUAGUUUUAUGCCACAUCAGUACUCUUAUCCUGAAUUUAAGGAUUUUAUCCUGAAAAAAAUCAAAUCCAAAUUAAAAUCCUAAAAUUCAGGAUAAGAAUACUGAUGUGGCAUAAAACUAUU